AAAAUAGUAUUUGAAUUGAUUCUUUGUCAUGUAACAAUUUUAAUCAUUACGGCCGAUUCUGAGGGCCAUUUCUCUAAAUUUUCCUUUUAACCCAUAUUUUAAUUUGAUGAUUUUAUAAAAUUAAUCUUUCAUAAAUUUAAUUCACAAUAUUUUUACUUAAAUCUGUUAGAACUUUAAUUGAUAUUAAUCUUUAGAAUAAAGAUUUCGCUGUAUCAUCAAACUGAAAUUUUAAUUUUAGAAAUAUGUUUAGAGAACUGGGGCGCCUCAGAAUCGACCAUAAUAAUUUAAUUCAAUUACUUCAUUAUAAAUCAUAGUUUUUCUAAUCUGUAGAACUGUAGCUGUCAGUCAACUCAGUUAUCAGUCAUCUCGGUAAAUGAUAAUAGCAUUUUUGACACUUGUAAACAAUUACAUACAAAUUAUUAUUCAUAAAUUCUUUAUAUUUACCAGUAUAAAGAAGUGAAAGCAACCCGAAAUAUGUAUUUCCAAUUGUGCACAUUAAUAUUUGCAUUCCUCACAAUUUCCAAUGUAGAAGCUUCACAAGGCUAUGAUUUUGGUGAUUUCGUAGCUACUAUUUUAGGCAUCGGAAUUGCCGUAAUUGGUAUUCUAGCAUGUUUGGGAAAUUACGCCAGACAAAAAGCCAGAAAUGAGUUUAUAUAAAAAUUAAAAAAGUUGCCUGAAUAUCAUGAGUAACUAAGAAGCGACUAAUAAUAUUGUAUACUAAAACAUAUACUAUGGUUAUCCAUUGUCCUUUUUCAAACAUACCUAUGGGGCUGAUUGUUUUAGACAUUUAAACUUUUGUUGUUUAUAAUAUUUUUAAACUUGUUCACAAUUUAAACGUUGAAAAUGUGAUUAUAAGCAUAAGUUCAAUAUUUACAAAGAAUUAACCUCUUUCAUCAGUUUAUUUGUAAGAUUGCCGUUUCAUUGUGAACUUAUAAAAUGAUUCAAGGUAAAAUAUAUAUAAUACAAUGUAUAUUUAAUAGAUAGUUAUCAAAUAAAAUAUGUUAAGUAAUUGUAUAGAAAAUAUCUUAAUACAUGUCAUAUGUCUAAAGUUUUGUUACCAAUAAUUCUUCAUUUCAGAUAUAAAUAAAUAUUUUUUUAAUCAUUAAAUGUUAUGCACCUAUUUAAUGAUAUUUUAAUUUAAUAUUGCACAGAAAAAAUAAAGCGAUGUUUGUUGUAAAUAAUUUAUAAUGAAUAAAAGAAAACUUCAUCAUACUUUCGGACGACACACAAACCAAUCAUAGAAAUUCAUGAUAAUGUUAUUAAAUUUGGCUUAACUUAUGCA